rnacentral:rRNA from 1 species
UACGUAGGGCGCAAGCGUUGUCUGGAAUUAUUGGGCGUAAAGAGCUCGUAGGCGGUUUGUCGCGUCUGCUGUGAAAACCUGAGGCUCAACCUCGGGCUUGCAGUGGGUACGGGCAGACUAGAGUGCGGUAGGGGUGACUGGAAUUCCUGGUGUAGCGGUGGAAUGCGCAGAUAUCAGGAGGAACACCGAUGGCGAAGGCAGGUCACUGGGCCGCAACUGACGCUGAGGAGCGAAAGCAUGGGGAGCGAACAGG